rnacentral:lncRNA from 1 species
GAUGAAAUCAUAGAUCAGUGACCUCUACUGCUGCCAAAAACUAUUACGCUGAGGGUAUUUAAUUGGAAGGAGGUCUUUCACUGGAAUUAAUACAAAUGUAAACUGUACUGAGAGCAAUAGGCAGAAUGAAUGUUAUUCCAGAGGCAUUAAAGAAUUAUCAAAUUUGAAGGAAAAAGUUGUUCACCAUUCAGCUGACAGGCUUGGAACAUAUAGAAUCAGAGAUACAAUAAAUGAUGAUGCAUCCGGUAAGCAUAUUGUAUGGGACCUAAAGCAAAGUAACAUGGGAAGAUAAGGAGGUGUUAGAAUUUGAGAAUGAAGCCCUAAAAGAUGAUAAUAAACAGGUUCAUGUGGUAAUGGCA